GGGCAGCAUGUCCAGCAAUGGAUGAUGGCGACCGGCGGAAGGGUGCGUAACGCGUGAGCAACAUGCCCUAUACAGGGAGAUACACCAGGGAAACUUGGUCUAAUAUCCCAUAGCAUUCAUUGAAGGCAUCUUUAAUGAAUUAAAGCUUCGGUGGUAUAGGAUUGGCUCGCGUGACAUUAGCCAGAUGGUGAGGUAACGGCUCACCAUAGCAAUGAUGCCUAGGGGUUUUGAGAGGAAGGCCCCCCACACUGGGACUGAGACACGGCCCAGAUUCCUACGGGAGGCAGCAGUGAGGAAUAUUGGACAAUGGAUGGAAAUCUGAUCCAGCCAUGCCGCGUGCAGGAAGACGGCCUUAUGGGUUGUAAACUGCUUUUAUACGGGAGCAAUAAGGGUUACGAGUAAUCCGAUGAGAGUACUGUAUGAAUAAGGAUCGGCUAACUCCGUGCCAGCAGCCGCGGUAAUACGGAGGAUCCGAGCGUUAUCCGGAAUUAUUGGGUUUAAAGGGUGCGUAGGCGGCCAUUUAAGUCAGCGGUGAAAUUUUGCAGCUUAACUGUAACAGUGCCGUUGAUACUGUUUGGCUAGGAUUUGGUUGUAGUGUGCGGAAUGUGUGGUGUAGCGGUGAAAUGCUUAGAUAUCACACAGAACACCGAUUGCGAAGGCAGCACACUAAGUCAUUAUUGACGCUGAGGCACGAAAGUGUGGGGAUCAAACAGGAUUAGAUACCCUGGUAGUCCACACUGUAAACGAUGAUAACUCGCUGUCGGCGAUACACAGUCGGUGGCCAAGCGAAAGCAUUAAGUUAUCCACCUGGGGAGUACGACCGCAAGGUUGAAACUCAAAUGAAUUGACGG
rnacentral:rRNA from 1 species